CGCCCCCUGGACGGGGAUGUGGCGGCCCUCCGGACGGGCCCCGGGCGGUGGUCCCGGGAGCGGUGGAUCAGUGGCCGCCGGGGGCCCC
rnacentral:tRNA from 1 species